rnacentral:rRNA from 1 species
UACAGAGGUCCAGCAGUGUUCGGUGAUUCAUUGGGCGUAAGGGUGUGUAGGUGGCGCGUAAGUCGGGUGUGAAAUUUCGGAGCUUAACUCCGAAACUGCAUUCGAUACUGCGGUGCUUGAGGACUGGAGAGGAGACUGGAAUUCAUGGUGUAGCAGUGAAAUGCGUAGAGAUCAUGAGGAAGACCAGUGGCGAAGCGGGUCUCUGGACAGU